GGACUACUAGGGUAUCUAAUCCUGUUUGCUCCCCUAGCUUUCGUGCCUCAGUGUCAGGAGUCGUCCAGGGACUCGCCUUCGCCACUGGUGUUCCACUUGAUAUCUACGCAUUUCACUGCUACACCAAGUAUUCCAGUCCCCCCUCCGACCCUCUAGCAGGGUAGUUUCCAAUGCCAUUUCCGAGUUGAGCUCGGAGAUUUCACAUCCGACUUACCCCACCACCUACGCACCCUUUACGCCCAGUGAAUCCGAACAACGCUUGGGACCUCUGUAUUACCGCGGCUGCUGGCAC
rnacentral:rRNA from 1 species